rnacentral:rRNA from 2 species
GGGUUGUGAGGUUAAGCGACUAAGCGUACACGGUGGAUGCCCUGGCAGUCAGAGGCGAUGAAGGGCGUGCUAAUCUGCGAUAAGCGCCGGUAAGGUGAUAUGAACCGUUAUAACCGGCGAUACCCGAAUGGGGAAACCCAGUGUGACUCGUCACACUAUCAUUAACUGAAUCCAUAGGUUAAUGAGGCGAACCGGGGGAACUGAAACAUCUAAGUACCCCGAGGAAAAGAAAUCAACCGAGAUUCCCCCAGUAGCGGCGAGCGAACGGGGAGGAGCCCAGAGCCUGAAUCAGCAUGUGUGUUAGUGGAAGCGUCUGGAAAGGCGCGCGAUACAGGGUGACAGCCCCGUACACAAAAGCGCAUGUGCUGUGAGCUCGAUGAGUAGGGCGGGACACGUGGUAUCCUGUCUGAAUAUGGGGGGACCAUCCUCCAAGGCUAAAUACUCCUGACUGACCGAUAGUGAACCAGUACCGUGAGGGAAAGGCGAAAAGAACCCCGGCGAGGGGAGUGAAAAAGAACCUGAAACCGUGUACGUACAAGCAGUGGGAGCACCCUUUUGGGUGUGACUGCGUACCUUUUGUAUAAUGGGUCAGCGACUUAUAUUCUGUAGCAAGGUUAACCGAAUAGGGGAGCCGGAGGGAAACCGAGUCUUAAUUGGGCGUUAAGUUGCAGGGUAUAGACCCGAAACCCGGUGAUCUAGCCAUGGGCAGGUUGAAGGUUGGGUAACACUAACUGGAGGACCGAACCGACUAAUGUUGAAAAAUUAGCGGAUGACCUGUGGCUGGGGGUGAAAGGCCAAUCAAACCGGGAGAUAGCUGGUUCUCCCCGAAAGCUAUUUAGGUAGCGCCUCGUGAAUUCAUCUCCGGGGGUAGAGCACUGUUUCGGCUAGGGGGCCAUCCCGGCUUACCAACCCGAUGCAAACUGCGAAUACCGGAGAAUGUUAUCACGGGAGACACACGGCGGGUGCUAACGUCCGUCGUGAAGAGGGAAACAACCCAGACCGCCAGCUAAGGUCCCAAAGUCAUGGUUAAGUGGGAAACGAUGUGGGAAGGCCCAGACAGCCAGGAUGUUGGCUUAGAAGCAGCCAUCAUUUAAAGAAAGCGUAAUAGCUCACUGGUCGAGUCGGCCUGCGCGGAAGAUGUAACGGGGCUAAACCAUGCACCGAAGCUGCGGCAGCGACACUAUGUGUUGUUGGGUAGGGGAGCGUUCUGUAAGCCUGUGAAGGUGUGCUGUGAGGCAUGCUGGAGGUAUCAGAAGUGCGAAUGCUGACAUAAGUAACGAUAAAGCGGGUGAAAAGCCCGCUCGCCGGAAGACCAAGGGUUCCUGUCCAACGUUAAUCGGGGCAGGGUGAGUCGACCCCUAAGGCGAGGCCGAAAGGCGUAGUCGAUGGGAAACGGGUUAAUAUUCCCGUACUUGGUGUUACUGCGAAGGGGGGACGGAGAAGGCUAUGUUGGCCGGGCGACGGUUGUCCCGGUUUAAGCGUGUAGGUGUGUGUUCCAGGUAAAUCCGGUUCACUUUAACACUGAGGCGUGAUGACGAGGCACUACGGUGCUGAAGCAACAAAUGCCCUGCUUCCAGGAAAAGCCUCUAAGCAUCAGGUAACAUCAAAUCGUACCCCAAACCGACACAGGUGGUCAGGUAGAGAAUACCAAGGCGCUUGAGAGAACUCGGGUGAAGGAACUAGGCAAAAUGGUGCCGUAACUUCGGGAGAAGGCACGCUGACACGUAGGUGAAGUGAUUUACUCAUGGAGCUGAAGUCAGUCGAAGAUACCAGCUGGCUGCAACUGUUUAUUAAAAACACAGCACUGUGCAAACACGAAAGUGGACGUAUACGGUGUGACGCCUGCCCGGUGCCGGAAGGUUAAUUGAUGGGGUCAGCGCAAGCGAAGCUCCUGAUCGAAGCCCCGGUAAACGGCGGCCGUAACUAUAACGGUCCUAAGGUAGCGAAAUUCCUUGUCGGGUAAGUUCCGACCUGCACGAAUGGCGUAAUGAUGGCCAGGCUGUCUCCACCCGAGACUCAGUGAAAUUGAACUCGCUGUGAAGAUGCAGUGUACCCGCGGCAAGACGGAAAGACCCCGUGAACCUUUACUAUAGCUUGACACUGAACAUUGAGCCUUGAUGUGUAGGAUAGGUGGGAGGCUUUGAAGUGUGGACGCCAGUCUGCAUGGAGCCGACCUUGAAAUACCACCCUUUAAUGUUUGAUGUUCUAACGUGGACCCGUGAUCCGGGUUGCGGACAGUGUCUGGUGGGUAGUUUGACUGGGGCGGUCUCCUCCUAAAGAGUAACGGAGGAGCACGAAGGUUGGCUAAUCCUGGUCGGACAUCAGGAGGUUAGUGCAAUGGCAUAAGCCAGCUUGACUGCGAGCGUGACGGCGCGAGCAGGUGCGAAAGCAGGUCAUAGUGAUCCGGUGGUUCUGAAUGGAAGGGCCAUCGCUCAACGGAUAAAAGGUACUCCGGGGAUAACAGGCUGAUACCGCCCAAGAGUUCAUAUCGACGGCGGUGUUUGGCACCUCGAUGUCGGCUCAUCACAUCCUGGGGCUGAAGUAGGUCCCAAGGGUAUGGCUGUUCGCCAUUUAAAGUGGUACGCGAGCUGGGUUUAGAACGUCGUGAGACAGUUCGGUCCCUAUCUGCCGUGGGCGCUGGAGAACUGAGGGGGGCUGCUCCUAGUACGAGAGGACCGGAGUGGACGCAUCACUGGUGUUCGGGUUGUCAUGCCAAUGGCACUGCCCGGUAGCUAAAUGCGGAAGAGAUAAGUGCUGAAAGCAUCUAAGCACGAAACUUGCCCCGAGAUGAGUUCUCCCUGAGACUUUAAGUCUCCUGAAGGAACGUUGAAGACGACGACGUUGAUAGGCCGGGUGUGUAAGCGCAGCGAUGCGUUGAGCUAACCGGUACUAAUGAACCGUGAGGCUUAACCUUACAACGCCGAAG